UGGGGAAUAUUGCACAAUGGAGGGAACUCUGAUGCAGCGACGCCGCGUGAACGAAGAAGGCUUUCGAGUCGUAAAGUUCUUUUAUAUUGGAAGAUAAUGACGGUACCAUAAGAAAAAGCCCCGGCUAACUACGUGCCAGCAGCCGCGGUAAUACGUAGGGGGCUAGCGUUGUCCGGAAUCACUGGGCGUAAAGGGUUCGCAGGCGGAAAUGCAAGUCAGGUGUAAAAGGCAGUAGCUUAACUACUGUAAGCAUUUGAAACUGCAUAUCUUGAGAAGAGUAGAGGUAAGUGGAAUUUUUAGUGUAGCGGUGAAAUGCGUAGAUAUUAAAAAGAAUACCGGUGGCGAAGGCGACUUACUGGGCUCAUUCUGACGCUGAGGAACGAAAGCGUGGGUAGCAAACAGG
rnacentral:rRNA from 3 species